GCUGGGCGGCUGCGGCGCGCGGUGCGUAGUCUGGAGCUAUGGUGGUGGUGGCGGCAGCCGCGCCGAACCCGGCCGACGGGACCCCUAAAGUUCUGCUUCUGUCGGGGCAGCCCGCCUCCGCCGCCGGAGCCCCGGCCGGCCAGGCCCUGCCGCUCAUGGUGCCAGCCCAGAGAGGGGCCAGCCCGGAGGCAGCGAGCGGGGGGCUGCCCCAGGCGCGCAAGCGACAGCGCCUCACGCACCUGAGCCCCGAGGAGAAGGCGCUGAGGAGGAAACUGAAAAACAGAGUAGCAGCUCAGACUGCCAGAGAUCGAAAGAAGGCUCGAAUGAGUGAGCUGGAACAGCAAGUGGUAGAUUUAGAAGAAGAGGUAAAACUACUUAAGGUCAAACUCUUUUAUCCAUUGUAUACCCUUCCUUGGUGAAUGUUCUGAUAUUUGCUUCCCAUCCCAAGUUGUUUCAGCCCCUAUUAGAAUACAAUUGAAUAUGUGAUUAAAAGUUAAACUAGGCUGGGCAUGGUGG
rnacentral:sRNA from 1 species